rnacentral:rRNA from 1 species
UAAUGAGGCGAACCGGGGGAACUGAAACAUCUAAGUACCCCGAGGAAAAGAAAUCAACCGAGAUUCCCCCAGUAGCGGCGAGCGAACGGGGAGGAGCCCAGAGCCUGAAUCAGUGUGUGUGUUAGUGGAAGCGUCUGGAAAGGCGCGCGAUACAGGGUGACAGCCCCGUACACAAAAAUGCACAUACUGUGAGCUCGAUGAGUAGGGCGGGACACGUGGUAUCCUGUCUGAAUAUGGGGGGACCAUCCUCCAAGGCUAAAUACUCCUGACUGACCGAUAGUGAACCAGUACCGUGAGGGAAAGGCGAAAAGAACCCCGGCGAGGGGAGUGAAAAAGAACCUGAAACCGUGUACGUACAAGCAGUGGGAGCCUCUUAAUGGGGUGACUGCGUACCUUUUGUAUAAUGGGUCAGCGACUUAUAUUCUGUAGCAAGGUUAACCGAAUAGGGGAGCCGAAGGGAAACCGAGUCUUAACUGGGCGUUAAGUUGCAGGGUAUAGACCCGAAACCCGGUGAUCUAGCCAUGGGCAGGUUGAAGGUUGGGUAACACUAACUGGAGGACCGAACCGACUAAUGUUGAAAAAUUAGCGGAUGACUUGUGGCUGGGGGUGAAAGGCCAAUCAAACCGGGAGAUAGCUGGUUCUCCCCGAAAGCUAUUUAGGUAGCGCCUCGUGAAUUCAUCUCCGGGGGUAGAGCACUGUUUCGGCAAGGGGGUCAUCCCGACUUACCAACCCGAUGCAAACUGCGAAUACCGGAGAAUGUUAUCACGGGAGACACACGGCGGGUGCUAACGUCCGUCGUGAAGAGGGAAACAACCCAGACCGCCAGCUAAGGUCCCAAAGUCAUGGUUAAGUGGGAAACGAUGUGGGAAGGCCCAGACAGCCAGGAUGUUGGCUUAGAAGCAGCCAUCAUUUAAAGAAAGCGUAAUAGCUCACUGGUCGAGUCGGCCUGCGCGGAAGAUGUAACGGGGCUAAACCAUGCACCGAAGCUGCGGCAGCGACACUAUGUGUUGUUGGGUAGGGGAGCG